AUGAUUCCCAAGCUUCAAACCCGACCCAGAGUCAGCAACACGGACAGCGCCACACCCGCUUCUGGGGACCACAUGCUCUCUUGGCUGGAAAGAGCGAUCCCGCUGUGGAUCCAGCCAGAGUUAAAGUCAUCAUCUCGCCCCAUGAUUGAAGGAGAAAAUACCUUCUAUCUCCAUUCCAAAUGCUCCAAGAGCCUGGGCUAUUGGCCCCCAUCCAAGGAAAUGGCACAGGUAGGAAGGAAGCGCUCCUCUGGGGCAGUGAUGGAGGGGCUGUUCCUACUGCUCAGGGCAGAAGUGGGGUCUUCAAGCUUAAGUGGGAGAGGGCUAAAGGCGGUCAGUGGGAUUCCACAACCCGCCCCACCCCGCAUUCGCCUCACCUCUCUGCUCCCUGCUGUCUGGCUGCUGCCCCUCUCUCCCCUCCCUGGCAAAACUCUCACCUGGGUCACCAAUAACCACAUGUUCUCUUCCUGACCAGGCCAUCUUGGUCACCACCACCAGCUCUCCCUACACCCCACAGUUAAGCUUAAUUGGGGGCGUGUGGGCAUGCAGGCGUGCAGGUUCCCACUGCCCUGCCCAAGGCCCUCUGCCCCCCGCUCAGUGAGUGUGUCUAUGUGUCCACCUCCUGGGGCAGCUCUGCUACCUUCUCAGCCUCCGUCUGCACAUUUAUCCUGCUCUUGGCGGUGGCACUUCCAUCCCUCACCCCCCAGUCACUGGAGUCAGGGCUCAGAGAGUCACUCUAGAGGCCUCUCUCUCCCCGGCCCCCCACGCCUCCCCUCAAAUUUCACUUCCUCAAAGUGUCUUCAGUGGCGUCCCUUCUCCAUCCCCCAGGUUGCUAUCUCCCCGAAGGCGUGGUUCUCUUCUUCCCAAUCACAGAAGCUUCCUCUUGGCCUCCAGCCUCUCCCUUCCAGCUGUUCCCUACACUGGCUUCAGCGAGAUCAUGUUAUACCUAUAUGACUCUGUCCUGCUUCUACUCAAGAACCUUCCGUGGCUCCCCGUUGCCCUUAAAUAAAGCUCAGGUUUGUUUGUCUUCCCCUACUGUU
rnacentral:lncRNA from 1 species